ensembl:lincRNA
CCAUGGUGCUUUGGGGCCUUCUCAAGUGUUGUAAUUUCCCAAGGAAAGGGACUCAUCUACAAAAAGAUGUGGGUCUUCGCAGAUCUGAUUGUCAGCGCUGCCCACCGUUGACGCACUCUUCGAUGACUCAGCGGCUGGGUCUUCUGCAGGCACACAGGAACACACAGAAAACUGCUGAGUCUUCUGAACGUACAGAAGUGAUAGCAUUGCAGUAGGCCACGGAGGGGCUGACCCAUGGGCCUAAAUCCUGAAGAGCGAACAACCCAGAAUCAAGUCAGAGCCAACUGGCGCUGGCCAUGAAGUGUGAGUGAGAAAUUAACCUUUCUUGGUGUGAGCUGUGGAGCUUUUAGAGGUUGCUACCGUAAGCAUAACCGGGUUUAUACUGACAGAUACUGGCCUCCACACCUGUGUUUUCUUUUUUUGCUCAGAGAAAGAAGAGUCCUUCCUUCUGCCUCAGGUGAAUCGCUCUCAUCAGUGCUCUGGGUCCAUCCCUCCCUGCCCACCCCCAUUCAGUCUCCCCUGGUCCAGCUCAAUUAGACAUCAUCUCUCUUCUGAGUCUCUAAACACCCCCUUCCUGUUGACUUCUUCUUGGCACAUAGACAUAUUUGGAUUUCUCUUCUUUUAAAGAACAAAACGGAAAGAGCCCAACUUCCUUUCCAGAUACCACAAUAUCGUUCUCCUUUUCCAGAAAGAGAGGUCUCUGCCUCCCAUCUCUGCUUUCUUUCCUCUUUUUACCUACCUCAGUCUGUGUGGCACUGAGCCUUUGGCCAGACAAGCUGGCAGACUCAAUGGUUAUAGUUCACAGAUACUGGCUAGUAAACCCAGUAAAAAGAAAAACAACAACAACAACUUUCUUUUCUUCCUUUAACCAUUAUCCCUCUUGUGUUUCCCUUUGACACCAGGAUGACAGUAUUUUCUCCAAAGGAAGUUGGAACCUAUCAUUCCACAGUUCCUUUUAGCAUGGAACUUGACUAUAGGUCCCAGAAGAAACCAUAUGUCAUCUAUCCCAAAAUUUACCCAGACCUGGACUAGGUGUCUCUUUCUUUCCCAGGGGUGAAUUUUCUGAUAAACUAUAGCUUCUGUUAAUCAGAAACUAGGGAACAUUCUGGAUCCUGUCUGUAGCCAGGGGUGUUAAUCAUACAAACCCGUGGCAAACUUCAGCUCCAAAGAGCCUUUCCACAUUUUUCAGAGGGGACCAAGGGGCUCCUCUUGCAUAGUGGGAUCCCUGUGGCCUUCUCUGAAAUUCAGAAUUCUGAGUUGGGCUCGUGGACUGGAUUUCCCACAGAUACUUCGUGCUAUAAGCUGCAUAUUAGGAUAUUAAUCUGCUGCUCAAAUUCAUCCAAACUCAGUGAGAAUGAAUGUGAGCACUACCCUGAAAACUGAGCAGUGCGUCUGUAGAUACUAUUCAAUUAAAAUAAUCCCAUUUAAUUAAAGCUCAUGGUCCUUGCCAAGACUUUAAAUGUUCUCUUCUGGUGAACCACACCUAUGAUACCAUAGACACAAUAAACUGUUCUAGAUUUUCUUUUGUCUCUUGAGGUCCCACCAACCUUGUGGGAUAAUCAAAAACUUGUGAAACAAACCACAUGGUUUAGGACUUACGAUCUUCUCUCCUCUUCUCUUCCCAGAUCCUCCCUUCUCAAGGUUUCAUUGAGACUCACUUCAGUGCCCUGAUUGCUCUCCGAUUUUGGCGUCAUUGUCUCUGCUCCAUCCUCUGGCUGAUGGUGAGGUUUUCUAGCAUACUUGCCAUCCUCCUGCAGCCGCAUGUCCUGAACUCAUGCUCGUUCAGUGGUUUUGUACUUUUAUGAAAUGUGGUGCUGUGUGAGGCUCUUGGACCCCCAGUAAUUAUAGCUCACAAUACACCCUAAAAAGAAUUCUGGUUCUUGCAGUUGUCUCAUCUCAGAUACUUAGGACAACUUCUCAAGGGCUUCCUUAGCUAGAGGACAUUUGAAUGGUACCAUCCUGUCUUAAGAAGGUCUCCCUCACUUUUCUCAGAAAGAAUGCUUUGGGCUCCAGGAAAUAAGCUACUAUUAAAAGUGGCUUAAGGAAUAAGGGUUUAAUUUCAUCCACAACAGGGAUGGUUUUUCUAGGGUGGGCUCAGUAACUCAAGAAUAUCAAGAUUCUGGCUCUUCUCCAUUUUCUCCGCUCCAUUACCCUCAAUGUACUGAAGACCCGUCUUUGUCACACAAGUCACAAGAUGAUUGCUACAGCUCUAACUAUCAUGACCUCACACAAGAGUACACAGAAGCAAGAAGAUAAAGUGGAGUUUUGUUUUGAAGGUGUCUGUUAGAUGCAAAAAUCUUUUUCAAGAGGUCCCCUUGGACUUCCCUUGGGCCCGACUGGCCCGAGCUGGAUGAACGCCCGUGCCCCAGUCGUAGGGAGGAUGAAAAAGUGAGAAUGCUGGCACGCCCAAUUUGUAGAAUGGGAGGAAAGCUCCACCUGCAAGAAAGAAGGGAGUUAGGAAUGUCUAUUAUGAGGCACCUGGCUGGCUCAGAUGGUUGAGCUUCUGCUCAGGUCAUGCUCAGGGUCCUGGUGUCGAGCCCCACAUUAGGCUCCCUGUUCAGCAGAGAGUCUGCUUCUCUCUCUCCCGCUUCCUCUCCCCCCAUCCCCCACUCAUGUGCU